rnacentral:rRNA from 1 species
GAUGAACGCUGGCGGCGUGCCUAAUACAUGCAAGUCGAGCGAACAGACGAGGAGCUUGCUCCUCUGACGUUAGCGGCGGACGGGUGAGUAACACGUGGAUAACCUACCUAUAAGACUGGGAUAACUUCGGGAAACCGGAGCUAAUACCGGAUAAUAUAUUGAACCGCAUGGUUCAAUAGUGAAAGACGGUUUUGCUGUCACUUAUAGAUGGAUCCGCGCCGCAUUAGCUAGUUGGUAAGGUAACGGCUUACCAAGGCAACGAUGCGUAGCCGACCUGAGAGGGUGAUCGGCCACACUGGAACUGAGACACGGUCCAGACUCCUACGGGAGGCAGCAGUAGGGAAUCUUCCGCAAAGGGCGAAAGCCUGACGGAGCAACGCCGCGUGAGUGAUGAAGGUCUUCGGAUCGUAAAACUCUGUUAUUAGGGAAGAGCAAAUGUGUAAGUAACUAUGCACGUCUUGACGGUACCUAAUCAGAAAGCCACGGCUAACUACGUG